AUUGAACGCUGGCGGCAGGCCUAACACAUGCAAGUCGAACGGUAACAGGAAGAAGCUUGCUUCUUUGCUGACGAGUGGCGGACGGGUGAGUAAUGUCUGGGAAACUGCCUGAUGGAGGGGGAUAACUACUGGAAACGGUAGCUAAUACCGCAUAACGUCGCAAGACCAAAGAGGGGGACCUUCGGGCCUCUUGCCAUCGGAUGUGCCCAGAUGGGAUUAGCUAGUAGGUGGGGUAACGGCUCACCUAGGCGACGAUCCCUAGCUGGUCUGAGAGGAUGACCAGCCACACUGGAACUGAGACACGGUCCAGACUCCUACGGGAGGCAGCAGUGGGGAAUAUUGCACAAUGGGCGCAAGCCUGAUGCAGCCAUGCCGCGUGUAUGAAGAAGGCCUUCGGGUUGUAAAGUACUUUCAGCGGGGAGGAAGGGAGUAAAGUUAAUACCUUUGCUCAUGGACGUACCCGCA
rnacentral:rRNA from 1 species